rnacentral:rRNA from 1 species
GGCGCACGGGUGCGUAACGCGUGGGAAUCUGCCCCUUGGUUCGGAAUAACAGUUGGAAACGACUGCUAAUACCGGAUGACGACGUAAGUCCAAAGAUUUAUCGCCGAGGGAUGAGCCCGCGUAGGAUUAGCUAGUUGGUGUGGUAAAGGCGCACCAAGGCGACGAUCCUUAGCUGGUCUGAGAGGAUGAUCAGCCACACUGGGACUGAGACACGGCCCAGACUCCUACGGGAGGCAGCAGUGGGGAAUAUUGGACAAUGGGCGAAAGCCUGAUCCAGCAAUGCCGCGUGAGUGAUGAAGGCCUUAGGGUUGUAAAGCUCUUUUACCCGGGAUGAUAAUGACAGUACCGGGAGAAUAAGCUCCGGCUAACUCCGUGCCAGCAGCCGCGGUAAU